rnacentral:rRNA from 1 species
GACGAACGCUGGCGGCGUGCCUAAUACAUGCAAGUUGAGCGCUGAAGGUUGGUACUUGUACCAACUGGAUGAGCAGCGAACGGGUGAGUAACGCGUGGGGAAUCUGCCUUUGAGCGGGGGACAACAUUUGGAAACGAAUGCUAAUACCGCAUAAAAACUUUAAACACAAGUUUUAAGUUUGAAAGAUGCAAUUGCAUCACUCAAAGAUGAUCCCGCGUUGUAUUAGCUAGUCGGUGAGGUAAAGGCUCACCAAGGCGAUGAUACAUAGCCGACCUGAGAGGGUGAUCGGCCACAUGGGGACUGAGACACGGCCCAAACGCCUACGGGAGGAAGCAGUAGGGAAGCUGCGGCAAGGGACGAAAGUCUGACCGAGCAACGCCGCGUGAGUGAAGAAGGGUGUCGGAUCGUAAAACUCUGUUGGUAGAGAAGAACGUUGGUGAGGGUGGAAAGCUCAUCAAGAGACGGUAACUACCCAGAAAGGGACGGCUAACUACGUG